UACGUAGGGUGCGAGCGUUGUCCGGAAUUACUGGGCGUAAAGAGCUCGUAGGCGGCUUGUCGCGUCGACUGUGAAAACUUGGGGCUCAACCCCAAGCUUGCAGUCGAUACGGGCAGGCUAGAGUUCGGUAGGGGAGACUGGAAUUCCUGGUGUAGCGGUGAAAUGCGCAGAUAUCAGGAGGAACACCGAUGGCGAAGGCAGGUCUCUGGGCCGAUACUGACGCUGAGGAGCGAAAGCGUGGGGAGCGAACAGG
rnacentral:rRNA from 1 species